UCUAGAACUUGAGAUAUGAGCUGAAAACUGAACAGUGUCUGAGCUGUAGGACAGAUUCCGACUUCUCCGUUAAUGCUAAGAUUUGAACUUGAAAAUGGGAGAUUUGAAUCUUGCAUUCCUCAUGAAAGUUUUAGACCUAUGUCUUAGCUUUCCAUA
rfam:Populus trichocarpa scaffold_4_contig_185, whole genome shotgun sequence.